GACGAAGGGGGCUAGCGUUGUUCGGAAUUACUGGGCGUAAAGCGAGUGUAGGCGGUUGCCCAAGUCAGGGGUGAAAGCCUUGAGCUCAACUCAAGAAAUGCACUUGGUACUGGGUGGCUAGAGGACCGGAGAGGAUAGUGGAAUUCCCAGUGUAGUGGUGAAAUACGUAGAGAUUGGGAAGAACACCAGUGGCGAAGGCGGCUAUCUGGACGGUUACUGACGCUAAGACUCGAAAGCGUGGGGAGCAAACAGG
rnacentral:rRNA from 1 species